rnacentral:lncRNA from 1 species
UUGCAGGGAUGCCGAGUACUCUGGGGGUGCAGGGCCCCCCCCUUGCAGCGUGGAGAAGCAGAGGUGUGAGGGAGCAGGACCAGGGGCUGCACCCUGAGGCUGAUGUGGUGCAGGUCUUGCAUGAAACUCUGCUUUAUCCCGGGUUUGCUGGGGGACCUGAGAUAACCGAAGGCGUUUUUCAGUCCCUGGUUUAUCAGAGGCACCAGUUGGAGAAGAGGUGCUGCCUGGGCUCUGUGUAGUCCCCACCCCAGGAAAGGAGAGGGGUCUCUCAGCCCCCUCCCUUGAGCGAGUGUUUAUUUUCAGCGGCUGAAAUCGGCGUGAGGAGACGAUCCACAAACAGCAGUAAAAAUUCCUGGAGGGCGCUGCAGCUUGGCUUUCCAGGAAGGGAAAUCAAGAGCUGGGGAGGGCUCCCUGGGGGGAAGUUAGCACCUGGCUGCCAUCAGCAAUCACUUACCAUCGGUUUGCAUUCAGCAAAAGCCGGGGUGAGGGAAAUCCGGCAGCCCCAGGGGCUGGGGGGCUGCCCGGAGCUGGGCUGGGGGUGCAGGGGCUCUCUGUCCUGACACUCCUGGGUGCUUCUUCAUCUCUCCGGGCGACUGAGCUGCUUUCUGGGACCACUUGGGACUGAUCUGCCAGCUCGGUGCGAACCUCCCGGGGACCUUCUCCCCACUGGAACCAGGGCCGGGACAAGCUUUUGGCGAGAUGUCGGGCUACAGGAGGGGCUUCCCCAGGGAGCCCGGUCCCUGGCAGGCUGGACAACGCCCCCGCCGCCCUCGUGGGCCCUGGAUCGCCCACCACAAGCCACCCUGGGAGCCCCAGCACAGGAGAGGAAGGCACACACAGCACCCGCCCAGGCCCUGGGCCCCCAGAGGCUUCCAUGGCCCUGCCAAUUUCCAUGGGAAUGAGGAGGACGGGAGAUGGGCACCCCACGACUGUCCCCCACCACCCCCUUGGGAUGACAGAGAAGAUGGCCGAGGACCUGAGGACCGGUUCAAAGAAGACUGGGACCCGGUGAGGGGACGAUGGGCACCCCACGACCGUCCCCCACCACCCCCUUGGGAUGACAGAGAAGAUGGCCGAGGACCUGAGGACCGGUUCAAAGAAGACUGGGACCCGGUGAGGGGACGAUGGGCUGGUGGGGGUGGCAGCUGUGUGGCUGCCCAUGGUGUGCCACCAUCCUCACCUGCAGUGAUUGCCCUUGCAGCCUGGUCCCUGGUACUGCGGACCCGCCCCUGACUCUGUCGACUUCCCUUGGGAUGAGGAGGACAGGAGAUGGGCAUCCCACGACCGGCCCCCGCCACCCCCUUGGGAUGACAGAGAAGACCACCGAGGACCCGAGGGCUGCUUCGAAGAGGACUGGCACCCGGUGAGGGGGUGAUGGGCCUGGGGGGGGUGGCAGUGGCCAUGGGACUGAGGACAGGGAGUGGGUGAAAUCAAGUGGUGUUCCCCAGGGCUUGGUGGGGGUGGCAGCUGUGUGGCUGCCCAUGGUGUGCCACCAUCCUCACCUGCAGUGAUUGCCCUUGCAGCCUGGUCCCUGGUACUGCGGACCCGCCCCUGACUCUGUCGACUUCCCUUGGGAUGAGGAGGACAGGAGAUGGGCAUCCCACGACCGGCCCCCGCCACCCCCUUGGGAUGACAGAGAAGACCACCGAGGACCCGAGGGCUGCUUCGAAGAGGACUGGCACCCGGUGAGGGGGUGAUGGGCCUGGGGGGGGUGGCAGUGGCCAGGACAGGGAAUGGGUGAAAUCAAGUGGUGUUCCCCAGGGCUCAGUGUUGGGACCAUUUCUGUUUAACAUCUUCAUUGAUGAUCUUGAUAAGGACAUAGGGUGUAUCAUCAGUAAGUUCACAGAUGACACCAAGUUAAGCUGGAGUGUUGAUCUGCGUGAGGACAGGGAGGCUCUACAGAGAGGCUUGGACAGGUUGGGUGGAUGGGCCAACGUUCAUGGGAUGAGCUUCAGCAAGGCUGAGUGCCAGGUCCUGCACUUGGGCCACACCAACCCCAUGCACCAAUACAGGCUUGGGGACGUGUGGCUGGAGCUGUCUGGUGGAAAAGGACUUGGGGGUUCUCAUUGACAAGCAGCUGGAUAUGAGCUGGUCGUGUGCCCAGGUGGCCAAGAAAGCCAACGGCAUCCUGGCUUGGAUUAGAAAUAGUGUGACCAGCAGGAGCAGGGAGGUGAUUGUCCCCCUGUACUCAGCACUGGGGGGGCUACACCUGGAGUGUUGUGUCCAGUUUUGG